rnacentral:tRNA from 1 species
CAGUGCGUAGCUAAGCUAGAAAAGUAUCUCUCUUACACUGAGAAGUCAUCCGUGCAAACCGGAUCGCCCUGA